ACCAAAACUCUUUUUGUAUACCCCCUCGCGGGUUUUUUAUAAUCUGAGCCUUCUCGGCGCCUCUCGUAGGCGUUUCGAAAAUGAAUCAAAACUUUCAACAACGGAUCUCUUGGUUCUGGCAUCGAUGAAGAACGCAGCGAAAUGCGAUAAGUAAUGUGAAUUGCAGAAUUCAGUGAAUCAUCGAAUCUUUGAACGCACAUUGCGCCCGCCAGUAUUCUGGCGGGCAUGCCUGUCCGAGCGUCAUUUCAACCCUCGAACCCCUCCGGGGGGUCGGCGUUGGGGAUCGGCCCUCCUCUUGCGGGGGCCGUCUCCGAAAUACAGUGGCGGUCUCGCCGCAGCCUCUCCUGCGCAGUAGUUUGCACACUCGCAUCGGGAGCGCGGCGCGUCCACAGCCGUUAAACACCCAACUUCUGAAAUGUUGACCUCGGAUCAGGUAGGAAUACCCGCUGAACUUAAGCAUAUCAAUAAGCGGAGGAAAAGAAACCAACAGGGAUUGCCCCAGUAACGGCGAGUGAAGCGGCAACAGCUCAAAUUUGAAAUCUGGCCCCUAGGGUCCGAGUUGUAAUUUGUAGAGGAUGCUUUUGGUGAGGUGCCGCCCGAGUUCCCUGGAACGGGACGCCACAGAGGGUGAGAGCCCCGUCUGGCUGGCCACCGAGCCUCUG
rnacentral:rRNA from 1 species